UGGGGAAUUUUCCGCAAUGGGCGAAGGCCUGACGGAGCAAUGCCGCGUGGAGGUGGAAGGCCUACGGGUCGUCAACUUCUUUUCUCGGAGAAGAAACAAUGACGGUAUCUGAGGAAUAAGCAUCGGCUAACUCUGUGCCA
rnacentral:rRNA from 1 species